GACGGGUGAGUAACGCGUGGGAACGUGCCCUUCUCUACGGAAUAGCCCCGGGAAACUGGGAGUAAUACCGUAUACGCCCUUUGGGGGAAAGAUUUAUCGGAGAAGGAUCGGCCCGCGUUGGAUUAGGUAGUUGGUGGGGUAAUGGCCCACCAAGCCGACGAUCCA
rnacentral:rRNA from 1 species